rnacentral:rRNA from 1 species
AACGAACGCUGGCGGCAGGCUUAACACAUGCAAGUCGAGCGCCCCGCAAGGGGAGCGGCAGACGGGUGAGUAACGCGUGGGAAUCUACCCAUCUCUACGGAAUAACGCAUGGAAACGUGUGCUAAUACCGUAUACGUACUUCGGGAGAAAGAUUUAUCGGAGAUGGAUGAGCCCGCGUUGGAUUAGCUAGUUGGUGGGGUAAAGGCCUACCAAGGCGACGAUCCAUAGCUGGUCUGAGAGGAUGAUCAGCCACACUGGGACUGAGACACGGCCCAGACUCCUACGGGAGGCAGCAGUGGGGAAUAUUGGACAAUGGGCGCAAGCCUGAUCCAGCCAUGCCGCGUGAGUGAUGAAGGCCCUAGGGUUGUAAAGCUCUUUCACCGGUGAAGAUAAUGACGGUAACCGGAGAAGAAGCCCCGGCUAACUUCGUGCCAGCCGCCGCCGUAAAAC